rnacentral:rRNA from 1 species
AGAGUUUGAUCCUGGCUCAGGAUGAACGCUAGCGGCAGGCUUAACACAUGCAAGUCGAGGGGCAGCGCGGAGUAGCAAUACUCUGGCGGCGACCGGCGGAAGGGUGCGUAACACGUGAGCGACUUGCCCGUCACAGGGAGAUAACCGCUGGAAACGGCGACUAAUAUCCCAUAUGAUGGCGAUCUGCAUGGAUUGUCAUUGAAAGAUUCAUCGGUGACGGAUAGGCUCGCGGGGCAUUAGCUAGACGGCGGGGCAACGGCCCACCGUGGCGACGAUGCCUAGGGGUUCUGAGAGGAAGACCCCCCACACUGGGACUGAGACACGGCCCAGACUCCUACGGGAGGCAGCAGUGAGGAAUAUUGGUCAAUGGGCGGAAGCCUGAACCAGCCAUGCCGCGUGCGGGAAGGAGGCCCUAUGGGCUGUGAACCGCUUUUGCCUGGGGGCAAUAAGGGCGUCGCGCACGUCCGAUGAGAGUACCAGGCGAAUAAGCAUCGGCUAACUCCGUGCCAGCAGCCGCGGUAAUACGGGGGAUGCGAGCGUUAUCCGGAUUUAUUGGGUUUAAAGGGUGCGUAGGCGGAAGUGCAAGUCAGCGGUGAAAUCCCCGCGCUCAACGCGGGAGUUGCCGUUGAUACUGUACAUCUGGAAUGCUCUUGCCGUGGGAGGAAUGAGUAGUGUAGCGGUGAAAUGCAUAGAUAUUACUCAGAACACCGAUUGCGAAGGCAUCUCACGAAGGGGCGAUUGACGCUGAGGCACGAAAGCGUGGGUAUCGAACAGGAUUAGAUACCCUGGUAGUCCACGCAGUAAACGAUGAUGGCUAACUGUCGGGUUUUAGGAUUCGGCGGCCAAGCGAAAGCGAUAAGCCAUCCACCUGGGGAGUACGACCGCAAGGUUGAAACUCAAAGGAAUUGACGGGGGCCCGCACAAGCGGAGGAACAUGUGGUUUAA